AGUCCAUGAUAUGGGCAGAGCCUUAACACAUCUGUGUAUCUCUCUCAUGCUUCAAAAAUAAAAUCAUUGUCUUUUUGCCUAAAUCUGUUGAUUUGGCUUCUUAGCAU